rnacentral:sRNA from 1 species
AUCUAUCGCUGCCAAUUUAUCUACCACUGCCAAUCUAUCUAUUGCUGCUAAUCUAUCGCUGCUGUCAAUCUAUCUAUCGCUGCUAAUCUAUCUAUCACUGCUAAUCUAUCGCCGCUGCCAAUCUAUCCCUCACUGCUAAGCUAUCCCUCGCUGCUAAGCUAUCACAGUCAAUCUAUCGCUGCUAAUCUAUCGCUGCCAACCUAUCUACCGCGGCGAAUCUAUCUAUCGCUGCCAAUUUAUCUACCACUGCCAAUCUAUCUAUCGCUGCCAAUCUAUUGCUGCUAAUCUAUCGCUGCUAAUCUAUCGCUGCUGCCAAUCUAUCUUUCGCUGCUAAUCUAUCGCCGCUGUCAAUCUAUCUAUCGCUGCUAAUCUAUCCCUCGCUGCUAAGCUAUCCCUCACUACUAAGCUAUCUAUCACUGCUAAUCUAUCGCUGCCAACCUAUCUAUCACUGCCAAUCUAUCUAUCGCUGCUAAUCUAUCGCUGCUAAUCUAUCGCUGCUAAUCUAUCGCUGCUAAUCUAUCGCUGCUAAUCUAUCGCUGCCAACCUAUCUACCGCGGCGAAUCUAUCUAUCACUAUCAUUACUAGUUCAAAAUAGAACUAGAGCAUAAAUACACUAAACUUCUUUUGAUAGGUAAUGAUUUUUGGUAACACUCAUAGCAUUAUAUCAUCUAUAUAGGGUAAAUCAUGGUCCCAUUUGGUCCCAUUUUAACAAAAUGAGACCAAAUGAGACCAGAAUCAGUAAUUUAUAAGAAGAACAUGACCUGAGACUAGAUUUAUAAUAUAAACAGUGUAAAGUGACUAAUUUAAUAAACACUAUAUGGGACC